rnacentral:rRNA from 1 species
GACGAACGCUGGCGGCGUGCCUAACACAUGCAAGUCGAGCGGGGAUUUAAGUGGAAGUUCUUCGGAAUGGAGAUUUAAAUUCUAGCGGCGGACGGGUGAGUAACGCGUGAACAAUCUGUCCCGGACAGGGGGAUAACACUUGGAAACAGGUGCUAAUACCGCAUAAGACCACGGCCUCGCAUGGGGCUGAGGUAAAAGGAGCAAUCCGGUUCGGGGCGAGUUCGCGUCCGAUUAGCUAGUUGGUGAGGUAACGGCCCACCAAGGCGACGAUCGGUAGCCGGCCUGAGAGGGUGAACGGCCACAUUGGAACUGAGAGACGGUCCAAACUCCUACGGGAGGCAGCAGUGGGGAAUAUUGGGCAAUGGGCGAAAGCCUGACCCAGCAACGCCGCGUGAGGGAAGAAGGUUUUCGGAUUGUAAACCUCUGUCCUAUGGGACGAAGGAAGUGACGGUACCAUAGGAGGAAGCCCCGGCUAACUACGUG